UACAGAGGGUGCGAGCGGUAAUCGGAAUUACUGGGCGUAAAGCGCACGUAGGCGGCUUGGUAUGUCGGGUGUGAAAUCCCCGGGCUCAACCUGGGAACUGCAUCCGAAACUGCCUUGCUAGAGUAUGGGAGAGGGAAGUGGAAUUUCCGGUGUAGCGGUGAAAUGCGUAGAUAUCGGAAGGAACAUCAGUGGCGAAGGCGACUUCCUGGACCAAUACUGACGCUCAGGUGCGAAAGCGUGGGGAGCAAACAGG
rnacentral:rRNA from 1 species